rnacentral:misc_RNA from 1 species
UGUCCAUACAGACUCAGCCAAA